UUGAAUUUUGAUUAUUUGCACUGUGCGGAUGGGUCAAACCAAAAUCCACAAAAAAGAGGUCGUAUUUGCACUGCAACAGUCGUCAUCAGCAAGAGGCGCAUCGUUACAGUUACGAGAAACAGCGAGAACGAAGGACAAUAGCAAGAAGCUAAACGAUGUCGUUUAUGCGCGGAGAUUUGCUUUGCCAAACGAGGAAGCUGGUGAAGGGUCUAGCGAAGGCAGAACCCGUAUGGCUGAAAGCGAUGGAGCAGUUAAUCUCCUAAUUCUUCUCAUUCAUCUUUUCCCUCUUUUCAACCUAAUUUUCUCUUUCUUUUUCCUUAAUUUACUUUUUAUUUUUCUCAAAGCUUUCAAAUUUCUCUAAUGUGUGUUACCAGGGCGCCACCUGCAACAUUUCCUCCAGUUGCCGGCAAAAUUCCGACCAUCAGUCUUCCUGAGGAUGUCUAUGUGAAG
rnacentral:lncRNA from 1 species